rnacentral:rRNA from 1 species
GAUGAACGCUGGCGGCGUGCCUAAUACAUGCAAGUCGAGCGAACGGACGAGAAGCUUGCUUCUCUGAUGUUAGCGGCGGACGGGUGAGUAACACGUGGAUAACCUACCUAUAAGACUGGGAUAACUUCGGGAAACCGGAUCUAAUACCGGAUAAUAUUUUGAACCGCAGGGUUCAACAGUGAAAGACGGUCUUGCUGUCACUUAUAGAUGGAUCCGCGCUGCAUUAGCUAGUUGGUAAGGUAACGGCCUACCAAGGCAACGAUGCAUAGCCGACCUGAGAGGGUGAUCGGCCACACUGGAACUGAGACACGGUCCAGACUCCUACGGGAGGCAGCAGUAGGGAAUCUUCCGCAAUGGGCGAAAGCCUGACGGAGCAACGCCGCGUGAGUGAUGAAGGUCUUCGGAUCGUAAAACUCUGUUAUUAGGGAAGAACAUAUGUGUAAGUAACUGUGCACAUCUUGACGGUACCUAAUCAGAAAGCCCCGGCUAACUACGUG